rnacentral:rRNA from 1 species
UAUAAUUUACUUGAAUUUGACAACCCUACUUGGAUACCGGUGGUAAUUCUAGCGCUAAUACAUGCACCAAAGCUCCGACCGCGUGGGAAGAGCGCAUUUAUUAGAACAAAACCACACGGCUUCGGCCGUCCAAUGUUGACUCAGAAUAACUAAGCUGAUCGCAUGGUCUUGCACCGGCGACGUUUCUUUCAAGUAUCUGCCUUAUCAACUUUCGAUGGUAGUGUAUCUGACUACCAUGGUGAUGACGGGUAACGGAGGAUAAGGGUUCGACUCCGGAGAAGGGGCCUGAGAAAUGGCCACUACGUCUAAGGAUGGCAGCAGGCGCGCAAAUUACCCACUCUCAGUACGAGGAGGUAGUGACGAGAAAUAACAAGACCGUUCUCACAAGAGGCCGGUCAUUGGAAUGGGUACAAUUUAAACCCUUUAACGAGUAUCUAUGAGGGGGCAAGUCUGGUGCCAGCAGCCGCGGUAAUUCCAGCUCUCAAAAUGCAUAGAAUUAUUGCUGCGGUUAAAAAGCUCGUAGUUGGAUCUGUGCUGGCCUCCCGGUCCACCUCCGGGUGCGCACUGGGCAGGUUGGCUUUUCUGUCGUUUACGCGGAUGUUCCUAACGGGGCAACCGCAUCGCGACAAUUUUACCUUGAACAAAUCAGAGUGCUCAAAACAGGCGUUUCGCUUGAAUGUUCGUGCAUGGAAUGAUAGAAGAGGAUUUCGGUUCUAUUUUAUUGGUUUUAUAGACUGAGAUAAUGGUUAACAGAGACAAACGGGGGCAUUCGUAUUGCUGCGUGAGAGGUGAAAUUCUUGGACCGUAGCAAGACGGACUACAGCGAAAGCAUUUGCCAAGAAUGUCUUCAUUAAUCAAGAACGAAAGUCAGAGGUUCGAA